ensembl:miRNA mir1388 microRNA mir-1388
UUUUUAAGUACUGAGUGGUGCUUUCUAGGACUGUCCAACCUGAGAAUGUUGGUUUAAGGCUCAAUCUCAGGUUCGUCAGCCCAUGAAACGCCAACUCGCUUCUGCAGA